UUAGCUCAGCUGGGAGAGCGCAUCGCUGGCAGCGAUGAGAUCAGGUGUUCGAUCCCCCUAGGGUCCACCA
rnacentral:tRNA from 1 species